rnacentral:tRNA from 1 species
GCGGGUGUAGUUCAAUGGUAGAACGGCAACUUCCCAAGCUGCAUACGAGGGUCCGAUUCCCUUCACCCGCUCCA